AAGACCAACAGGGAUUGCCCUAGUAACGGCGAGUGAAGCGGCCACAGCUCAAAUUUGAAAGCUAGCCUUCGGGUUCGCAUUGUAAUUUGUAGAGGAUGCUUUGGGUAAAACGCCAGUCUAAGUUCCUUGGAACAGGACGUCAUAGAGGGUGAGAAUCCCGUAUGUGACUGGAAAUGUUAACCUAUGUAAAGCUCCUUCGACGAGUCGAGUUGUUUGGGAAUGCAGCUCUAAAUGGGAGGUAAAUUUCUUCUAAAGCUAAAUAUUGGCGAGAGACCGAUAGCGCACAAGUAGAGUGAUCGAAAGAUGAAAAGCACUUUGGAAAGAGAGUUAAAAAGCACGUGAAAUUGUUGAAAGGGAAGCGCUUGCAAUCAGACUUGUUUAAACUGUUCGGCCGGUCUUCUGACCGGUUUACUCAGUUUGGACAGGCCAGCAUCAGUUUCGGCGGCCGGAUAAAGGCAUUGGGAAUGUGGCCUUCACUUCGGUGGAGGUGUUAUAGCCCAGUGUGUAAUACGGCCAGCCGGGACUGAGGUCCGCGCUUCGGCUAGGAUGCUGGCGUAAAUGGU
rnacentral:rRNA from 1 species